AUUGAACGCUGGCGGCAUGCUUUACACAUGCAAGUCGAACGGCAGCGCGGGCUUCGGCCUGGCGGCGAGUGGCGAACGGGUGAGUAAUGCAUCGGAACGUGCCCAGUAGUGGGGGGUAGCCCGGCGAAAGCCGGAUUAAUACCGCAUACGACCUGAGGGUGAAAGCGGGGGACCGAAAGGCCUCGCGCUAUUGGAGCGGCCGAUGUCGGAUUAGCUAGUUGGUGGGGUAAAGGCUUACCAAGGCGACGAUCCGUAGCUGGUCUGAGAGGACGACCAGCCACACUGGGACUGAGACACGGCCCAGACUCCUACGGGAGGCAGCAGUGGGGAAUUUUGGACAAUGGGGGCAACCCUGAUCCAGCCAUGCCGCGUGCGGGAAGAAGGCCUUCGGGUUGUAAACCGCUUUUGUUCGGGAAGAAAUCCUCUGGGCUAAUACCCCGGGGGGAUGACGGGACCGGAAGAAUAAGCACCGGCUAACUACGU
rnacentral:rRNA from 1 species